CCGUGUCUAAUAUGAGGUCUGUCAUGGAGAUUGAUGAUCAGCGCGGGCUUGCGCAGAUCGUACACAACACCUGGAUGAGUCAACGCACGCUGAUAGCCGAGUAAUAAGCCUGAGGUCGCUUACUCUCGGAGAUGGAGUUCAUAGCCCCUUCUUUAUUUUUCCUUUUCUGUUUCUUCCUUCUUUUUUGCUACGUUAGAACUCGCUGAGGCCCAUGAGCCUCCUGGCUCGUCUGGGCCUUACGAGCUCUCGCGAGCUUGUAACAUAAGAUAACAUAAACCGAACAGGACAAGCCUACAACAUUCGUUCCAAAAGGACGUUAGAAGCGCCCUGCAUUCCGCUAAGGUACAGCUUGUUAGCUAUUUGGACGGAACAUUCUCUUUUGCGUUCUUUUCCGAGUACCUCUUACACUGCUUGUCCUGCGCAUCCUUUACAUGUAUUACGGCUAAGGGAUCCCUUCCGGAUGAUGGAGAAUGUGCUUUAUGCUUGACCAAUUACACAUCACGAUCAGCAUCGAUUAAGCGGCUGCAGGAGCUGGUACCAGCUGGUAAGUGCUGAGGGCCCGAUCCACCGCCGGGAGGACGACUUCCUGAGGCAAACACGACGGACAUCCCGAACGGUGCUUACAUCCGUGUUAUGGAAAAUUGCUCUUACGUGUCUGGACCGGACGGAUGGACAUGAGGCAACUUUCUUAUCGCAUAUACAGGGCAUGCAACGGUAUGUGUUAACCAUGGAAGGCAACAAUUUUCUUUCUAGUUGGUCACCAGGUCAUAGUGAUUUAUCCCUUUGUGUUCAGUUCUUAGGGUUUAACCUCAUGCCCGCCCGUACCGGAAAAGUGUUUUCCGAUACGGCGGUGUCAGGAGGUGGUAUCUACGUCGUCUUAGGGGCAACCCUAAGACCAAGGGGAUGAACGAAUAGAUAUAAUUUCUGUUUCUUGGCUGCAGCAAGUGUUGUCCUGGGCGCAACGUUGAUGGCCUGUUGCCGACGCGACCUCCUAUACGACAAUGCUAGGCAAACGCAGCGGAUGUUCAUGAAUUACUUAGGCGUUCAUAUUACUCGUCACUGCUUCAACGGCACUGGACUGGGCGGAUGUAAGACGUGCGUUGGUGGACGCGAUGGCCUUACGAAGGGGGAGAAAGACGCUUAGGAGAUGCUUGGAUUGUUAUGUACAAGUCACGGACGGGGACGUUUAACUCUUUGAAUGCUGAAUUUUAGCUACUAGUCGGGUUCUGAACUUCGCCUGUUGUUGGUUCCGCCCGUACAGGAAAAGUGUCUUCCGAUAUGGCGGUCACAGCAGGUGGUAUCCACGUCGACUUGUAUGCAAACCAAAUACAACCAGGGGAUGAUAUGACAGUUCUGGAGUGCAUGUUUCUUGGCCGCAAGCAGCAGCAAACUUAAAUCGCGUUGGGCCAUUUGCCCAGGCUGCCGCAUGGACGACAAGUCAGGCUAAUGCCGCUGAUAUCCAUGAAGGGUUCAUUACGUGCUGAAUAUGAAAGAUUGCUACGAAGACUCUGGCCCUGACGGAUGUGCAUUGUAACGAAGGAAACGGAUGCAGAGGUAGCACCGCGGCGCAUGGAACGCUAAGUAAGGAUGAUGGACUGUAAGCGUUAAUAUUCGGAGCAGGGAUUUCUGUCUUUUCGCUCGGUUCUGAAAGUCUAACGUCGCUUGCGCACCCCGUUUGUUCGGGGAACGUACUUAGAUCUGAUACGGCUCACCCGAUUAGCAAUAAUGCUUUCUAUGCUUGCAUAACCAUUUUGCAAACACAGACCAUUAUGCCAAAUCUUUGCUGUAAUGCCUCUGGCCCAGAUGACAUGGCAUGUACAACAUGUGAAAUAGACUCUGCUGCCCUGCUGCAGUGCACUUCAAUCCUUUAUUUGUACAUAAUAUUCGUUUAAUAUGAAAGGUGACUUCUUGCCAGAGGGUAAUGAUCGGAGACCUACUUAUGGCAUCCCAUGGAUUAUGCGGCAUGUAUCCGCAUCAUUUGUUCUGUGUAAUAGAAUUUGUGUAUUAGAAGAUUCUCGAAAAGCUAUCCUGUUGGUAUUUCAUGGCUGGACUUCCAGUGCUCCAUCCGUACCCAGUGCGGGGCCCGCCCGUCGCCUGCGUAGCUUCGCAA
rnacentral:lncRNA from 1 species